rnacentral:rRNA from 1 species
UACAGAGGUCCCAAGCGUUGUUCGGAUUCACUGGGCGUAAAGGGUGCGUAGGCGGUCGGGUAAGUCUGAUGUGAAAUCUCACAGCUUAACUGUGAAACUGCAUUGGAUACUAUCCGGCUCGAGGAAUGGAGGGGACACUGGAAUACUUGGUGUAGCAGUGAAAUGCGUAGAUAUCAAGUGGAACACCAGUGGCGAAGGCGGCUCACUGGCCCGGAACUGACGCUGAGACGCGAAAGCGUGGGGAGCAAACAGG